rnacentral:lncRNA from 1 species
CUCAUUUCUGGACUAGACUUUUUCUCCACCAGACAGAGUUGAGGGACUGUCUUUUCAGCACCUGCCCUGGAACAAGGGAAGAGCUCAGCAAUUGUUGGUUCACUUCUGUUUUCCCCCCUUUCUCACUUCUUUCAGAAAUCUAGUUAUAGCCUCUUGCUUGUACCUCUUACUUCUUUCCUCCUAUUUUCCUUCUUUUUUGGGCCAAGUUUGCAGUGUAUUUCCCCUAAUCCUCCCACAGGUACAUUUUCUUACCUGGGUACUCAGUGUACCCAGUGUACGUGGAAAAAUUACGGUCGUUAGUAAUUGUUUGUCCAAGUGGUACUGUAAAGAAGUCCUACUUCAGCUGUCUUUGCCAUGGAAGGGCAAUUAGCCAACUAUGCCUACAAGUGUCUAGUU